rnacentral:lncRNA from 1 species
CUGCCCUGCUUUUAACACCUGUGUGUGUGUGUGUGUGUUAUCAGCUGCCCUGCUUUUAACACUGUGUGUGUGUGUGUAUGUUAUCAGCUGCCCUGCUUUUAACACCUGUGUGUGUGUAUGUUAUCAGCUGCCCUGCUUUUAACACCUGUGUGUGUGUGUGUGUAUGUUAUCAGCUGCCCUGCUUUUAACACCUGUGUGUGUUAUCAGCUGCCCUGCUUUUAACACCUGUGUGUGUGUGUGUAUGUUAUCAGCUGCCCUGCUUUUAACACCUGUGUGUCUGUGUGUGUGUAUGUUAUCAGCUGCCCUGCUUUUACACCUGUGUGUGUGUGUGUGUGUGUUAUCAGCUGCCCUGCUUUUAACACCUGUGUGUGUGUAUGUUAUCAGCUGCCCUGCUUUUAACACCUGUGUGUGUGUAUGUUAUAGCUGCCCUGCUUUUAAACCCUGUGUGUGUGUAUGUUAUAGCUGCCCUGCUUUUAACACCUGUGUGUGUGUAUGUUUCAUCUGCCCUGCUUUUAACACCUGUGUGUGUGUUAUCAGCUGC